rnacentral:rRNA from 1 species
CCUACGGGUGGCAGCAGUGGGGAAUAUUGGACAAUGGGCGAAAGCCUGAUCCAGCCAUGCCGCGUGUGUGAAGAAGGCCUUCGGGUUGUAAAGCACUUUCAGUGGGGAAGAAAGCCUUGGGGCUAAUACCCUCGAGGAAGGACAUCACCCACAGAAGAAGCACCGGCUAACUCCGUGCCAGCAGCCGCGGUAAUACGGAGGGUGCGAGCGUUAAUCGGAAUUACUGGGCGUAAAGCGCGCGUAGGCGGUCUGAUAAGCCGGUUGUGAAAGCCCCGGGCUCAACCUGGGAACGGCAUCCGGAACUGUCAGGCUAGAGUGCAGGAGAGGAAGGUAGAAUUCCCGGUGUAGCGGUGAAAUGCGUAGAGAUCGGGAGGAAUACCAGUGGCGAAGGCGGCCUUCUGGACUGACACUGACGCUGAGGUGCGAAAGCGUGGGUAGCAAACAGGAUUAGAUACCCGAGUAGUC